CCCUUAGAUGUUCUGGGCCGCACGCGCGCUACACUGACUGGUGCAACAAGUGUCGCUCCUUGGCCGAUAGGCCUGGGCAAUCUUUGAACGCCAGUCGUGAUGGGGAUAGAUUCUUGCAAUUUUUGAUCUUCAACGAGGAAUUCCUAGUAAACGCGAGUCAUCAACUCGCAUUGAUUACGUCCCUGCCCUUUGUACACACCGCCCGUCGCACCUACCGAUUGAAUGGUCCGGUGAACCCUCCGGAUCGGCUCGCGCCAACGCAAGUUGAGCAAAGGCCGAGAAGUUGGGUAAACCUUACCAUUUAGAGGAAGUUGAAGUCGUAACA
rnacentral:rRNA from 1 species